UACGGGGGGGGCAAGCGUUGUCCGGAAUUAUUGGGCGUAAAGAGCUCGUAGGCGGUUUGUCGCGUCUGCUGUGAAAACCCGAGGCUCAACCUCGGGCCUGCAGUGGGUACGGGCGGACUGGAGUUCGGCAGGGGAGACUGGAAUUCCUGGUGUAGCGGUGAAAUGCGCAGAUAUCAGGAGGAACACCGGUGGCGAAUGCGGGUCUCUGGGCCGAUACUGACGCUGAGGAGCGAAAGCGUGGGGAGCGAACAGG
rnacentral:rRNA from 1 species